AGACAUCCUAUAUCUUCAAGAUGGAAGGAAACUACAACAUAGCACCUUGAAGACACAGAACUGAAGCUGAAGUUUAAAGGAAAGAGGUGAUUUGUACAUAAAAGCACUUGGAAGGAAUUCUGCUGGGCCUGCUCGCAGAAGAUCAUCGGAGCCUGUUGACUUAUAGAAUGGAGGGCUGGAGCGGACCACGGGACCUCUCCAUGACUAUCCAACCAGUUGCAUACACUUCUGCCUAACUGUGAAGCCGCAUGUGCAUCCACUUCCUGUGGCUCCCUUAACCGCGUGCCACAGUCUGAGCAGCCUAAGAGGACAGUUCCACCGGACAGGUGUCAGAGUGACAAGGUCAGAGGGGCACACUCCAUGGCAGCUCCAGUAAGGACACUCCUCACCUCUCCUCAAUCCCGACAGUGGCUGGCGCUGCGCAUGCGCCUGUGGCUCCAUCACCUCUUCCUACUAGGGCCCCCGUCAUUGGAUCAACAGCCCCUUUAAUCACACUCAGCCUCAUCUUCAUUAAAUGC